rnacentral:rRNA from 1 species
GACGAACGCUGGCGGCGUGCCUAAUACAUGCAAGUCGAACGCAGUGGGGACGGGUGAGUAACACGUGGGUAACCUCCCAUCAGAGGGGAUAACACUUGGAAACAGGUGCUAAAACGAUACUGAUGGAUGGACCCGCGGUGCAUUAGCUAGUUGGUGGGGUAACGGCUCACCAAGGCCACGAUGCAUAACGGACCGUAGGGGGUGAUCGGCCACACUGGGACUGAGACACGGCCAAGACUCCUACGGGAGGCAGGAGGAGGGAAUAUUCGGCAAUGGACGAAAGUCUGACCGAGCAAUGCCGCGUGAGUGAAGAAGGUUUUCGGAUCGUAAAGCUCUGUUGUUAGAGAAGCGGUAUCUAACCAGAAAGCCACGGCUAACUACGUGCCAGCAUCCGCGGUAAUUC